rnacentral:rRNA from 1 species
AUGUCUGAUCAGGAGAGGGAUGAUAUCCCAAUGCUGUUAAGAAAUAUUGAACUACCAAGAUUUCCCAGAAGUACAUCUAUGUGUAUGCCGGUCAGGGACGAGGAUUAUGAAGAAGACACUUACGUGCCCCAUACCGGUCCUCUGUCCAGUCAGCCACCGAGCCAGGUUGCAGCAGCGGGCAACCCGUUUGUUGUUAGCAGGCACACACCGGAUAAUAGGCCGCCGCGACAUCCGCAGGUAAAACAACCCAGCAAGCCGCAAGCCGUCAUGCCAGAAGACGCUGGAGGAAACAGGUGGUCUCAUGGUGGAGAUAUCCCAAAGAAUGAACAUUUGAUGAUGUCUGGACCUUUGGGACAAUGUGAUAAUCCCGACUGUGUCCAUUGCCCUCCUGUGUGCAAAAACAAGAGGCAUUUCCAACGAGCUUCAAAUCCUUUUGACAAUAAGCUUCAUAAUAUUCUCUAUAAUCACCAUCGUGGUUGGAAGAAGAGCAUUGAGCGUUUCCUUUCGUACAUUCCGAUUAUGAACCCACAUGCGAAGGUUGUUCAACAAUGGAAUCAAUUCUUUGUGAUAUCAUGCCUGGUUGCCAUCUUCAUCGACCCCCUGUUUUUCUUCCUGUUGUCAGUAGAGAAGGAUAAGAAAUGCAUAGUAUUCAACUGGAAGUUGGCGACAGGACUUGCCGUUGUGAGAAGUGUUUCUGAUGCUAUUUAUUUUCUGCACAUGCUUCUUCAGUUCAGACUGGCUUAUGUAGCUCCAGAGUCGAGAGUAGUGGGAGCUGGAGAUUUAGUUGACGAGCCAAAGAAAAUAGCUGUUCAUUAUCUUCGUGGUUAUUUUUUACUUGAUUUCUUCGUUGUGCUUCCACUCCCUCAGGUGAUUAUAUUGGCGAUUAUCCCUAGAUCUUUUGGCUUAUCAACAACAGCAGAUGAUGCCAAGAAUUAUUUGCGUGUCAUUAUUCUUCUUCAAUAUGUCCCCCGCAUCAUCAGAUUUGUACCAUUGCUCGGUGGUCGUCAGUCUGCCACUGGAUUCAUAUUUGAGUCAGCAUGGGCUAAUUUUGUGAUUAAUCUUCUAAUGUUUGUUUUGGCGGGUCAUGUCGUCGGUUCAUGUUGGUACCUUUUUGGAUUACAGAGGGUUAACCAAUGCCUGCAAAAUGCUUGUUCUGCGUCAAACAUUUCAUCAUGUAAGGUUUUCCGAGACUGUGGACUCAACUUUGGUAUUGGGGGGCAGAAUGAGCAAAUUAGUCAGCAAUGGUCUAAUGAGCCAGCCUCAACAGCUUGUUUUGACAUCGGGAAUGAUACUAAUUUCCAGUAUGGGAUUUAUCAGCAAGCUGUUCUGCUGGCUACGAAACACAGUGCUGUUACACGCUAUGUAUAUUCAUUAUUUUGGGGUUUUCAGCAAAUCAGUACUUUGGCUGGAAAUCUUAUCCCAAGUUACUUCGAAGGGGAAGUCCUCUUCACUAUGGCUAUUGUUGGUUUGGGACUGUUGCUUUUUGCACUACUCAUCGGGAACAUGCAAAAUUUUCUCCAAGCUCUUGGAAGCCGGAAACUAGAGAUGCAACUUAGACGGCGUGAUGUUGAGCAGUGGAUGAGCCAUAGACGACUGCCUGAAGAUUUGAGAAGGAGGGUUAGACAUGCAGAAAGGUUCACCUGGGCGGCCACUCAAGGAGUAAAUGAAGAGGAACUCUUAAGCAAUUUACCAGAAGAUAUUCAAAGGGACAUACGUCGACAUUUCUUUAGAUUCCUUAAUAGGGUUCGAUUGUUCACCUUGAUGGAUUGGCCAAUCUUGGAUGCUAUCUGUGACAAAUUAAGACAAAACUUAUAUAUCAGUGGAAGUGACAUUCUUUAUCAAGGUGGCCCUGUUGACAAAAUGAUCUUCAUAGUGAGAGGCAAGCUAGAAAGCAUCAGUGCAGAUGGAAGCAGGGCUCCGUUACAAGAUGGAGAUGUAUGUGGAGAGGAACUCCUCACAUGGUACUUGGAACACUCUUCAACGAAUAAAGAUGGCGGGAGAAGUAGAUUUCAUGGUAUGCGUUUGGUUGCUAUACGUACUGUGCGAUGCUUAACGAAUGUUGAAGCUUUUGUACUUCGAGCAAGUGAUCUCGAACAAGUUACUGGACAAUUUGCACGGUUCUUGCGCAAUCCAAGAGUGCAGGGGGCUAUCAGGUAUGAAUCACCCUACUGGAGGACCAUCGCUGCAGCGCGCAUCCAAGUCGCAUGGAGGUAUCGUAAGAGACGACUAAAGCGAGCUGAAAGAUCAAGGCCAAGCGAAGAACCCGAUCGUAUACUGGGUACAUGUUCUCAGUAUGCUUUUCAGCCUGGACAGAGGGGGUGA